CUAACGUUGGCAAUAAAACGUGGAAUGUCGAGGAGGUGCGGUCAACGUUAAGCCGGGACUCGGGACGGCAUCGCUAGCUAGCUACGACAAGCAUCCGGGCUAACGAGACGGCGUUGGUGACGGUGGUCGGCACCUUGGAUUUCCCCACCUCGAGCUUGGCGCCUUCCUGAGUGAUGUACCUGGGCAGAAAUGUGAAGAGAAGACGCUGUGAUUCAGCCGCCCUCAUCAUACUCAUGCUUGUCCGCGCAUCUUCUGAAGCCUCACUCCUGUAGAAUCUUGCUGUCGGUCGUCUGAGGGAAUCCAAAGUCCAUCAGCUCAUCCAGCAGCUCGUAGACGACCACAAAAUUAUCCUGAAUGCUUUCCUCCUCCAGCUCCUUGAAGUAUUCGGUGAACACCUGAACAAUGCACACAACUCAAUCACCUGCAUCAUCACUAUGACCACCGGCUCGUGACAAACAUGUCAAUCACAAGUCACAUACGGUCGGUCGCUCACCUCGACUAUUUUGUAUAGAAAUGAGUAUACAAGGGAGGCGUUGGAGUUCUUGUUUGUCGUGGACACCACUGUGCAGAGAUCAGGUCAAGGAGCAGUCUACACAGUUAAGUUCACCGCUAUUGAAUUUUAAGGACAAAAUGUAAUGAUCUGUGGUUACAAUCAUUAUUUCCUCCUGGCUCUGAAUAAGCGUGACCAGCAGCCGCCUUGAGGACAAGGAUACGGUACAGGUUGCUGUGUUUGAUCCACAUGAAGUGGACCUUGCCGUGGGACAGCACCGGGCAGAGCAGCCCUUCCUCUUCGUGCUGCAUGAGUAAAGGCAGGAAGCGGUCGAUCUCCGCCAUGUCCACGUCGCCUUUGUAGUUCCGACAAAUCAACACCUGAGCGGGGAGUAUAACACAGCAACAGAGGGUUAGACAACCGCGUUGAACGGUUAUAAAUUAGAGAAAAAGACAGCGGAUCGAAAACAGAAAAGAUGCUCUGUUUCUGAUCAGGAUUAUGAGAAAUAAUGUUGCAGAUCUUGAGGUAAUUUUAUAUUUUCUGGCGUGCGACCUGAUGUUGGAAUGAUGCUACCAGCAACGCUGGAAAAAUAUAGGAUUAAAUUUGCGUUUAAUGAUAAACACUUCUCAAUAAGAAUCCCAAUAAAGUGUAAUUGACGUUUCUCUUGCGUAUACUAAUAAGUGGAUUCUAGGUAUUAUUAAUCAUCCCACAGUGAUUUAAUUCCCUACUCAUCACCAUAACUGAUCAAUUAAGUAUUCAAUGGACUUUGAUCAAAAAAAAAAAAAAUGUUUCUAGUAAAUGAGUCUCUGUCGUCACGAUUUGCUGCUGUUCCUUCUGAAGGGGGAGUGAAUUAAAUAUCUAAGUGGGACAAAACCCAACAAUGUGAGAUUAUCUUUUUGCAUUUCUAAUUAUUAAACAUUUUUAAACAAUGAUCAACAAGAUACUACACUCAAUAGUGAAUAUGAUCGUUUUUAUAUCACCUUGCAGCUCCCAGUCAUAUGAAAUGAACACACCCUUUUUUUUUAAUAACACACCUGAAAACACACGCGUGUGCACCGGUUCUCGCAGUGACACUGACUUUGUGUGGCCGGACAGAAGGGGCCGUAUGUGGCAUAUGCGUUGUGACGACAACAACAACAUCCAAAAUACAGUAACACAAAUGCCACAACCGGAGGCCUUUGCCUCCUGGUUUGUUCCAACUGACGUGUAUCCGGAAGUAGCGUAGGAUCGCUCAAUGAAUGACUUUAUUAAUGUUUAACGAGGCCAGCGCCAUUAAUGACUCGCAGUUUUAAGCAACAGUUCACAACGUCGACUCACUGUAAGAACACACGCGGUGCUUAACGACUUGUCCUCCCGAAAAUAUAAAUUUACCAGCGUCUCCUAUCAGCUGCGCAUUAGUCUUACCUCCCCCUCCAGAUCCAGCACAAAUAUAGCGGAGGAAGACAUGCUGUCUUCUCCACUCAAAAGCACUCAAACUCAAAGAAUAAAGCUCAACUCGAGUCGUCAGUGCUUUGGAUGUCGUCCCGCACUCAUCGGCCUGAGGUGAUCGUGGACUCCUUCCGUUUCUUUUUCCUGAAGCGUGUUGUGACGUCACUACAUGCAGGUGAAACAUUCACCAGGUGAGAGAGAGGGGGGGGGGGGGGUGCUCAGGUUAUCCCCCAGAGGGCGCUAAAGACCCACAAACAGAGUGUGAUCAUUUUAUCUGGUUGACGUCAACUGUCCAUGAAAUAUUAGACUUUGACUUAUAAGAGCAAGUCAGCCCUAAAAUCAAUUAACUGGUGUUUUGGUGUUAGUUUGCCAAGUUUGCCAGUUAUUGGCCGAUAUCAUUGGUCGGCCUUCUCUCCAAUGUAAUUGUCUAUAUGCAUACUACUACUACUACUACUACUACUACUUGAAUGCUGAGAAUCUGAUAAUAUUUUUGUCUUUUUCUGCUCUGAUCAGAAGCUGUGUUCAGUGUUUGUGUUGCUUCUGCAGGACAAAAUCUUUUUACUUCCAUAAGUACUAAACAUUUUCUCCUCAAUAAUAUAUAUAUAUAUAUAUAUAUAUAUAUAUAUAUAUAUAUAUAUAUAUUUUUUUUUUCCUUUAGAACGGUAACAGAAGGAAACCUUCUUGCAGUUUGGCAGAAAACGCAGUAGAUUUUGUUGUAUAGUAAAGUACAAUUUCCUAGAUGUACUCACAUAUUGUGACUUUGUUGCAGAUGAAAUCUGUUUCACCGUGAAAGUACACAAUGUUCUGAAUUUUUAGAAAACAAUUUUGUAUUAGGUCAGUAGUGCACUACUUUUUCGGGCCUCAUGGUUGCAGAAGCACUUAAUAACCAUACGCUGUGUAUAUUUAUUCAGCCAUAAAAAUUGCUCUCCAACAUCUUCAUGUAUUCAGCUUCUUAUCAGGCGUGUGUAGGACGGCUGUGACUCACAAUAACACACCAUGACAGAGGCCUGUGUCUCAGACUGCCGGAUAGAGAUCAGUCUUUUCAAAUGUCCCUCUCCUUUAGUCCAUAAAGGCUUGGUGUGGACUGAGCUGCAACCGAGAUGGCAAGACCUUAAACCUGAUGUGUUCACUCAGGAAAUAAGCUGCAGUCAUGAAGACCUUUCGAAAGCAGCAUUCGAAGCUAAAGUUGUGCGCUGUGAGACUGGUCGCUCUGUUUGACACGGUUCACGAAAAGACCCUUUGACCCUUUGUCAGCAUUGUAUUGCUUUUUUUCUAGUUGGUGUUAAUAUCUAAAUUAUAUUGAGGGUUUUAAAUGUCAAACUUAUACCAGUUGUACAUACCAGUAAAUGUUUAUGCUUUGUUUUUGUGUUCUAUUUAGCUGUCUUUAAUGUCUUUUUUUAUAUUAUUUAUAUUUCUGUUGUUUAUUUGUACAUCUAUGUACAACUGAGAGCAAUGUGUAACCAAAGACAAAUUCCAUGUAUGUGUAAACAUUCAUGGCCAAUAAAGCCGAUUCUGAUUCUA